rnacentral:rRNA from 1 species
CAGUAGCCGCGGUAAUACGUAGGUGGCAAGCGUUGUCCGGAAUUAUUGGGCGUAAAGCGCGCGCAGGCGGAUCAGUUAGUCUGUCUUAAAAGUUCGGGGCUUAACCCCGUGAUGGGAUGGAAACUGCUGAUCUAGAGUAUCGGAGAGGAAGGUGGAAUUCCUAGUGUAGCGGUGAAAUGCGUAGAUAUCAGGAAGAACACCAGUGGCGAAGGCGACUCUCUGGACGUAAACUGACGCUGAGGCGCGAAAGCCAGGGGAGCGAACGGGAUUAGAUACCCGUGUAGUCCCUGUCUCUUAUACA